AGAGUUUGAUCCUGGCUCAGGAUAAACGCUGGCGGCGUGCCUAAUACAUGCAAGUCGAUCGAUGGAAGCCUAGCUUGCUAGGAAGAAAUAGAGGCGAACGGGUGAGUAAAACGUAAGCAACCUGCCCACGAAGACUGGGAUAAUCCCUGGAAACGGGGACUAAAACCGGAUAGGUAACUGAAUCGCAUGAUUGAGUUAUUAAAGGUUAAAAACACUGGUGGAUGGGCUUACGGUGCAUUAGCUAGUUGGUGAGGUAAAGGCCCACCAAGGCGAUGAUGCAUAGCCGGGCUGAGAGGCUGAACGGCCACAUUGGGACUGAGACACGGCCCAGACUCCUACGGGAGGCAGCAGUAGGGAAUUUUCGGCAAUGGGGGAAACCCUGACCGAGCAACGCCGCGUGAGUGAAGAAGGUCUUCGGAUUGUAAAGCUCUGUUGUAAGGGAAGAACGGUAUAAAGAGAAUUUAUACAUGACGGUACCUUACCAGAAAGCUACGGCUAACUACGUGCCAGCAGCCGCGGUAAUACGUAGGUAGCGAGCGUUAUCCGGAAUUAUUGGGCGUAAAGGGUGCGUAGGCGGUCUGUUAAGUUUAUGGUGAAAGCGUGGGGCUCAACCCCAUAAAGCCAUGGAUACUGACAGACUAGAGUACUGGAGAGGGUAGUGGAAUUCCAUGUGUAGCGGUAAAAUGCGUAGAUAUAUGGAGGAACACCGGUGGCGAAGGCGGCUACCUAGACAGAGACUGACGCUGAGGCACGAAAGCGUGGGGAGCAAAUAGGAUUAGAUACCCUAGUAGUCCACGCUGUAAACGAUGAAUGCUGGGUAUCGGGGAGACUCGGUGCCGUAACUAACGCGAUAAGCAUUCCGCCUGUGGAGUAUGCACGCAAGUGUGAAACAUAAAGGAAUUGACGGGGGCCCGCACAAGCGGUGGAGUAUGUGGUUUAAUUCGAC
rnacentral:rRNA from 1 species